rnacentral:rRNA from 1 species
UACGGAGGGUGCAAGCGUUAUCCGGAUUCACUGGGUUUAAAGGGUGCGUAGGUGGGCAGGUAAGUCAGUGGUGAAAUCUCUGGGCUUAACUCAGAAACUGCCAUUGAUACUAUCUGUCUUGAAUACCGUGGAGGUCAGCGGAAUAUGUCAUGUAGCGGUGAAAUGCUUAGAUAUGACAUAGAACACCAAUUGCGAAGGCAGCUGGCUACACGAAUAUUGACACUGAUACACGAAAGCGUGGGGAUCAAACAGG